UCAGUGACGGAAGGUAUUCAGUGCGCCGACGGUGCAAGCUUUAAUAAGGUUAAGUGCAGCGCGAGCAUGCGGAAGAUCUCGCAGGAGUCGCGAGCGAGGAUCUUUAGAGGAGAACUCCUCCGUUUCAAAUUAAUCUAUUUUAUACUCGUGCUCCUGGUCGCAGAGCUUGCUGUGUCGAGUGUGGCCGAGGGACGCUUGCUCAGAAUGGUUGCGGACUCCAGAGGUGCAAGAAGUCAAAGGAGAGGUUGCAAAAUGGAUUCACUUCAGUGGAUCUGGUGGAAAGGGCAGCAAGCGGAAAAGAGCAGGGCCCAAGGUUAACUUCAAAGAGGU